UACAGAGGUCUCAAGCGUUGUUCGGAUUCAUUGGGCGUAAAGGGGUGCGAGUAGGUGGCGCUGUAAGUCGGGUGUGAAAUUUCGGAGCUUAACUCCGAAACUGCAUUCGAUAACUGCGGUGCUUUGAGGACUGGGAGAGGAGACUGGGAAUUCAUGGUGUAGCAGUGAAAUGCGUAGAGAUCAAUGAGGAAGACCAGUGGCGAAGGC
rnacentral:rRNA from 1 species